UAGCACAGAGGAGCUUGCUCCUUGGGUGACGAGCGGCGGACGGGUGAGUAAAGUCUGGGGAUCUGCCUGAUGGAGGGGGAUAACUACUGGAAACGGUAGCUAAUACCGCAUGACGUCUUCGGACCAAAGUGGGGGACCUUCGGGCCUCACGCCAUGAGAUGAACCCAGAUGGGAUUAGCUGGUAGGUGAGGUAACGGCUCACCUAGGCGACGAUCCCUAGCUGGUCUGAGAGGAUGACCAGCCACACUGGAACUGAGACACGGUCCAGACUCCUACGGGAGGCAGCAGUGGGGAAUAUUGCACAAUGGGGGAAACCCUGAUGCAGCCAUGCCGCGUGUGUGAAGAAGGCCUUCGGGUUGUAAAGCACUUUCAGCGGGGAGGAAGGCAAUAAACUUAAUAAGUUUGUUGAUUGACGUUACCCGCAGAAGAAGCACCGGCUAACUCCGUGCCAGCAGCCGCGGUAAUACGGAGGGUGCAAGCGUUAAUCGGAAUGACUGGGCGUAAAGCGCACGCAGGCGGUCUGUUAAGUUGGAUGUGAAAUCCCCGGGCUCAACCCGGGAACAGCAUUCAAAACUGACAGGCUAGAGUCUCGUAGAGGGGGGUAGAAUUCCAGGUGUAGCGGUGAAAUGCGUAGAGAUCUGGAGGAAUACCGGUGGCGAAGGCGGCCCCCUGGACGAAGACUGACGCUCAGGUGCGAAAGCGUGGGGAGCAAACAGGAUUAGAUACCCUGGUAGUCCACGCCGUAAACGAUGUCGACUUGGAGGCUGUGGUCUUGAACCGUGGCUUCCGGAGCUAACGCGUUAAGUCGACCGCCUGGGGAGUACGGCCGCAAGGUUAAAACUCAAAUGAAUUGACGGGGGCCCGCACAAGCGGUGGAGCAUGUGGUUUAAUUCGAUGCAACGCGAAGAACCUUACCUACUCUUGACAUCCAGAGAAGACUGUAGAGAUACGGUUGUGCCUUCGGGAGCUCUGAGACAGGUGCUGCAUGGCUGUCGUCAGCUCGUGUUGUGAAAUGUUGGGUUAAGUCCCGCAACGAGCGCAACCCUUAUCCUUUGUUGCCAGCGAUACGGUCGGGAACUCAAAGGAGACUGCCGGUGAUAAACCGGAGGAAGGUGGGGAUGACGUCAAGUCAUCAUGGCCCUUACGAGUAGGGCUACACACGUGCUACAAUGGCGCAUACAAAGAGAAGCGAGCCUGCGAGGGUGAGCGGACCUCAUAAAGUGCGUCGUAGUCCGGAUUGGAGUCUGCAACUCGACUCCAUGAAGUCGGAAUCGCUAGUAAUCGUAGAUCAGAAUGCUACGGUGAAUACGUUCCCGGGCCUUGUACACACCGCCCGUCACACCAUGGGAGUGGGUUGCAAAAGAAGUAGGUAGC
rnacentral:rRNA from 1 species